UGCCAUUUUUAUCAGUCACUGUGUGUUUAGAAAAUCGCAGGACAGAUAUGAAUGGCAUA
rnacentral:pre_miRNA from 1 species